rnacentral:ncRNA from 2 species
UUCUUAUCUAGAGAGGUGGAGGGACUGGCCCUACGAAACCUCGGCAGCGGGACUGAUGCGUCAUCAGAAACUGUGCCAACUCCAGCAGGUGCUUUAUGCACGUGAAAGAUGAGAA